UCAAAAGGAUGCAUUUAAGGUGAUCUGUAAUUGAUGAUAUGCAUGUAACUGAUUGCUCUUUCAUGUAAUUAACCAUACCAUGAACUUAAAUUGUUUUGGUUGCUUAGAAUUUUGUCAAAGACAAAUGUCCGAGAGGCAAAAAAAGCCAAUAGACAGGCUAGAGAAGCCCGAAAAAAGGCCUUGCAGAAAUGAGUUAGUAGACUAAAGCAACAUUUGAAAACAUGAAGUUUAACAAGUUCUACUCAGUCCAGACCGAUGAUACUCCUGACACAUCAAAUGUUAAGGUAUUAUGGGAAAGCUCAUGAAGUUCUGUGAUUGGGCUCAUCAACCACCAGUAUUUCUACUGCAAAAGAUGCCAAUUGGUUUGCAUUGGGGACUAUAGCUAGCUAUUGAUUCUAGGAUAUGUUUCAUGAUGAAAGUUCAUAAUGGAACCCUAAAUGUGUGCUAAA